rnacentral:rRNA from 1 species
GGUUUAAUUCGAUGAUACGCGAGGAACCCUACUGGCUUAAAUGUAGAGUGCUAUUUUUUAGAGAUAGAAAUUCCCUUCGGGGCUUUCUGCAAGGUGCUGCAUGGUUGUCGUCAGCUCGUGCCGUGAGGUGUCGGGUUAAGUUCCAUAACGAGCGCAACCCUUAUCGUUAGUUGCCAGCUGGUAAAGCAGGGGACUCUAGCGAAACUGCCACCGUAAGGUGAGAGGAAGGUGGGGAUGACGUCAAAUCAGCACGGCCCUUAUGUCCAGGGCUACACACGUGUUACAAUGGCCGGCACAGAGGGCAGCUACCUGGUGACAGGAUGCUAAUCUCGAAAACCGGUCUCAGUUCGGAUCGAAGUCUGCAACUCGACUUCGUGAAGCUGGAUUCGCUAGUAAUCGCGCAUCAGCACGGCGCGGUGAAUACGUUCCCGGGCCUU